AUUGAACGCUGGCGGCAGGCCUAACACAUGCAAGUCGAGCGAGCGGCGGACGGGUGAGUAAUGUCUGGGGAUCUACCCGAUGGAGGGGGAUAACUACUGGAAACGGUAGCUAAUACCGCAUACUAUCGAAUGAACCCAAGUGGGAUUAGCUAGUGGGUGGGGUAAAGGCUCACCAAGCUGACGAUCUCUAGCUGGUCUGCGAGGAUGAUCAGCCACACUGGGACUGAGACACGGCCCAGACUCCUACGGGAGGCAGCAGUGGGGAAUAUUGCGCAAUGGGGGCAACCCUGACGCAGCCAUGCCGCGUGUAUGAAGAAGGCCUUAGGGUUGUAAAGUACUUUCAGCGGGGAGGCGUUACCCGCAGAAGAAGCACCGGCUAACUCCGUGCCAGCAGCCGCGGUAAUUC
rnacentral:rRNA from 1 species